CUCAAACUCUUUUGAUCUUCUGAUUCCUCUUGGGUUGAAACAGACCAAGUCUUCCCCCAGGCAUCCAGUUUGGGGGUGAGGGGGUGCUGUAUUUUUUUGACACGCUUACCUCCCACCUGUUCUUCCCCCAUCCCAUGCUGCCAACUUCUAACCCCAAUAGUGACUCUGUGCUUGUCUGUUUAGUUCUGUGUAUAAAUGGAAUAUUGUGGAGAUGAUCCCUCUCUGUGCCAGCUGGUUUCCCUCCCCUCC
rnacentral:lncRNA from 1 species